rnacentral:rRNA from 1 species
UUCUAACCGUAAACGAUGACAACCAGCGAUUAAUCGGCGUUAAUAUAUGACCCGAUUAGCAGCUUCCGGGAAACCAAAGUUUUUCGUUUCCGGGGGAAGUAUGGUUGCAAAGCUGAAACUUAAAGGAAUUGACGGAAGGGCACCACCAGGAGUGGAGCCUGCGGCUUAAUUUGACUCAACACGGGAAAACUCACCCGGCCCGGACACCGUAAGGAUUGACAGACUGAGAGCUCUUUCUUAAUUCGGUGGGUGGUGGUGCAUGGCCGUUCUUAGUUGGUGGAGCGAUUUGUCUGGUUAAUUCCGAUAACGAACGAGACUCUGGCCUAUUAAAUAGACGGUAUAUUUAAAAGUAUAUCGCGCUUCUUAGAGGGACAAGCGGCGUCUAGCCGCAUGAAAUAGAGCAAUAACAGGUCUGUGAUGCCCUUAGAUGUCCGGGGCUGCACGCGCGCUACACUGAAAAGAAUCAGUGGGCGUUCGAACCUAGUUCGGAAGAACCGGGCAAAAGUCGU